CCUCCCUCUCCCCGGGUCCCUAGUGGGAGAAGAGGAGGAGGAGAAGGAGAGCUUGUAGCUUCUUCUCCAACACCCCUGAAGUCUUAGGGCUGCCCUGGAUUCCUCCCGGGGCGGCAGAGGACAGCGCGCAGAAGUGAGCACCUCCAGAGCCUGGCCGGGAUGUGCAGAGUCCCGGGAUUCCCGAGAGCGAGAGCCAAAGCCGUGAGCCCCACUUGGCUUGCGCGACGCUCGUGGUCCGCGCUGCCCGGGCUGCUGCCGCUGCUGUUUCUGCACGCACUCCCGUGGACCGGAGUGAGCUCCUGGAAGCUCACCAUCCUGCACACCAAUGACCUGCACAGCCGGCUGGAGCAGACCAGCGAUGACUCUGGCAAAUGCUUGGUCGUUCCGAAGUGCGUGGGCGGCGUGGCGCGCUUGUACACCAAGGUCCAGGAGAUCCGCCGAGCCGAGCCCAACGUGCUGCUACUGGAUGCCGGGGACCAGUACCAGGGAACUGUGUGGUUCACCGUCUACAAGGGCGCCGAGGUGGCUCAUUUCAUGAAUGCCUUGGGUUACAAUGCUAUGGCCCUGGGAAACCAUGAAUUUGAUAAUGGAGUGGAGGGACUGUUGAAUCCAUUACUUAAGGAAGUCAAGUUUUCAGUUCUCAGUGCUAACAUUAAAGCCCAGGAACCACUUGCAUCUCAAAUAUCUGGAUAUUAUCUUCCAUAUGAAAUUCUAAACUUUGGUCAAGAGAAAGUGGGAAUUGUUGGGUAUACCUCCAAGGAGACACCUGUCCUUUCAAAACCAGGAAAAUAUUUAAUAUUUGAAGAUGAAAUCCCUUCCUUGCAGAUCCAAGUGGAUAAGCUGAAAACAUAUGGAGUGAACAAAAUUAUUGCCUUGGGCCACUCAGGUUUUGAAAUGGAUAAGCUCAUUGCUCAAAAGGUGAAAGGUGUGGAUGUUGUAGUUGGAGGACACACAAACACGUUUCUCUAUACAGGCCGUCCUCUUCCAUCCAAGGAAGUGCCUGCUGGGGACUAUCCAUUCAUAGUCACAGCUGAUGAUGGGCGGAAGGUCCCAGUUGUUCAAGCCUAUGCAUUUGGAAAAUAUCUAGGGUAUCUACAGGUUGAAUUCAACAAUGAAGGAAAUGUAGUCACAUCACAUGGAAAUCCUAUCCUCCUUAACAGCAGCAUCCAAGAAGAUCCAGGAAUAAAAGCAGAAAUCGACAGGUGGAGGGUAAAACUGGACAAUUAUUCUAAGCAGGAGUUAGGGAAAACCAUUGUUUAUCUGAAUGGCUCUACACAAUCCUGCCGUUUUAGGGAAUGCAACAUGGGGAAUUUGAUUUGUGAUGCUAUGAUUAACAACAACCUUAGACAUCCUGAUGAAAUGACUUGGAACCAUGUUUCCAUGUGCAUCCUGAACUCAGGAGGCAUUCGAGCCCCCAUUGAUGAACAGAACAAUGGUACAAUCACAUGGGAAAACCUCGCUGCUGUGUUGCCCUUUGGGGGCACUUUUGACCUAAUUGAGUUAAAAGGCUCCACUUUGAAAAAGGCCUUUGAGCACAGCGUGCAUCGAUAUGGCCAAUCCUCUGGAGAAUUCCUGCAGGUGGGCGGAAUCCAUGUAGUAUACGAUCUGAAACAAAGCCCUGGGCAUAGAGUGAGUAGUAUAGAUGUCCUUUGUACCAAGUGCCGAGAGCCAAUUUAUGUACCUCUCCAAAUGGAUGAAGUCUACAAGAUUGUCCUCCCAAGCUUUCUCGCUGAAGGAGGGGAUGGAUUCCAAAUGAUUAAAGAUGAAUCCUUGAAGCAUGAUUCUGGUGACCAAGAUAUCAAUGUAGUUUCUGAAUACAUCAACAAAAUGAGGGUGGUUUAUCCAGCAGUUGAAGGCCGGAUCAGAUUUUCUUCAGGCAGUCACCUUCAAGCAAACCUCUUCAUCUUCUCUGUCAUAGCUUUGGCAUUGAGUUUGGUUCUUUACCAGUAACUGAGUUUUUUCGUGAAAUUUAUAGGCAUGGGGGAAAAAAACUGAUUGCUCUACAAGUGUUAAAAAAAAACAAACACCAAAACUUUGGACAGUGGUUAAGGUUCUGAUUUGUGCUCAGUUACCUACCAUUAUGAAAGUACAGAAGUCUCCUUGAAGCUAAUGAAGUUUCCUGAAUACUGUAACAACUCAUUAAUUCAGGAUGGAGGGCUGCUUGCUCCAUCUGCCUCGAGCACUCUUUUCUACAUCAUUACUGGGAUCCGAAAUAGCAACAUGCAGGUUUUGCUCCAAAUGAAUUCGACCCAAGCCUUCUUUCAGCCAAAGACAAGGUUUGUUAAAGAUCUGCCAUAUCGGCCAGACUCUUAAGGAAUCCGAACAUUUGUGACACUUGUAUGGGCAAGUGGGCUAGAGUGAAUCUCAGCCGUUGGCCAGAUCGAAUCUGAGCACCUUAGCGGAGACAUGAUGGAUCUUAUAUACAGAAAGACUGUGGGAGAGAUCUAGGAGUGGCCAAGGAGUCUAAGGUAACUGUGAGGAGGGGUCUAGGGAGGAUCUGUAUGGGAGUGGCCAAUAAGUUGGAGUGUAGGACGCCAAGAACCUGGACCACAUGGCCAAGGGAGUCUGACAUCUAGAGAGGAUCGAGGACUGUAGGUCUAGGGUGGGGCCAGGGGCAGACAAUUGAUGGGGUGCUUGGGUGCUUGUAAUAGGAUCCCAAUCUUGACCAUAUUUCUCCCUAGCCUCAGAAACACUAUCCCUGGCAGUUUCUCCCCUGCCCAAGGACACUAUGCCUGGCAGUAUAAUAUUCAUGAGGGGCCUCAGCAAUACACUUAUCUCUCUCCCUGGCACAGUUACAAACCGCACCUGUAGGAGUUAUUAGUUUGAACUGGCUUUGUACUGGCUCAUAAAGAUAUUCGUACCCAUUGGACUAUCUAUAACAACUCCUUACCUCAUUAUCUGCAUCCUGGACUCUUCAUGUGUAUCCUAGACUUAAGACAUAUGUAUACUCCCUACAUCUAUCUUAUCAAACAAGACUGAUUGGUGGCAGGCUGGACGACUCUCAGUCAGCCCUGAUGGAUAGAUAACUUAGUGACGUAGCAGACCUAAAAACCACACCUCCCUGUAGCUCCCUCUUCUGUUUUUCCUGGUGAACUUUGGGCAAAAUGCCUGAAUGGUAGAUAUAAAAAGUGCAUGUUCCUUUAAGACGUAACCACUCUUUUUUUU